GUGAAAAGGACACCUUAACACCCUGUAAAGCAAAGUAUGUAGGAUUCGGACACUAUGCAUAGGUCAUGGCCUGAACUGAGUCUAACUUUCUAAAUUUGUCAAAUUGGCCUCUUUCUUUUUAUUUUUCACUGGAAUUUUGAGUGCUUAUCAAAAUUCAAGCAAGAUAUUUUUACAUGCAUUUAUUGACCAGAUAUACUAACAGACUAACAAAUCUCUCCAUCAGAGAGCUGAGACAAGACCAAAAAAAGAUGGAUAAAUAACCAAACCUCAAUCAGUUCUCCCCGAUUGA